rnacentral:rRNA from 1 species
GGUUAAGCGACUAAGCGUACACGGUGGAUGCCCUGGCAGUCAGAGGCGAUGAAGGACGUGCUAAUCUGCGAUAAGCGUCGGUGAGGUGAUAUGAACCGUUAUAACCGGCGAUUUCCGAAUGGGGAAACCCAGUGUGUUUCGACACACUAUCAUUAACUGAAUCCAUAGGUUAAUGAGGCGAACCGGGGAACUGAAACAUCUAAGUACCCCGAGGAAAAGAAAUCAACCGAGAUUCCCCCAGUAGCGGCGAGCGAACGGGGAGGAGCCCAGAGCCUGAAUCAGUGUGUGUGUUAGUGGAAGCGUCUGGAAAGGCGUGCGAUACAGGGUGACAGCCCCGUACACAAAAAUGCACAUAUUGUGAGCUCGAUGAGUAGGGCGGGACACGUGGUAUCCUGUCUGAAUAUGGGGGACCAUCCUCCAAGGCUAAAUACUCCUGACUGACCGAUAGUGAACCAGUACCGUGAGGGAAAGGCGAAAAGAACCCCGGCGAGGGGAGUGAAAAAGAACCUGAAACCGUGUACGUACAAGCAGUGGGAGCCUCUUAAUGGGGUGACUGCGUACCUUUUGUAUAAUGGGUCAGCGACUUAUAUUCUGUAGCAAGGUUAACCGAAUAGGGGAGCCGAAGGGAAACCGAGUCUUAACUGGGCGUUAAGUUGCAGGGUAUAGACCCGAAACCCGGUGAUCUAGCCAUGGGCAGGUUGAAGGUUGGGUAACACUAACUGGAGGACCGAACCGACUAAUGUUGAAAAAUUAGCGGAUGACUUGUGGCUGGGGGUGAAAGGCCAAUCAAACCGGGAGAUAGCUGGUUCUCCCCGAAAGCUAUUUAGGUAGCGCCUCGUGAAUUCAUCUCCGGGGUAGAGCACUGUUUCGGCAAGGGGGUCAUCCCGACUUACCAACCCGAUGCAAACUGCGAAUACCGGAGAAUGUUAUCACGGGAGACACACGGCGGGUGCUAACGUCCGUCGUGAAGAGGGAAACAACCCAGACCGCCAGCUAAGGUCCCAAAGUCAUGGUUAAGUGGGAAACGAUGUGGGAAGGCCCAGACAGCCAGGAUGUUGGCUUAGAAGCAGCCAUCAUUUAAAGAAAGCGUAAUAGCUCACUGGUCGAGUCGGCCUGCGCGGAAGAUGUAACGGGGCUAAACCAUGCACCGAAGCUGCGGCAGCGACACUAUGUGUUGUUGGGUAGGGGAGCGUUCUGUAAGCCUGUGAAGGUGGCCUGUGAGGGUUGCUGGAGGUAUCAGAAGUGCGAAUGCUGACAUAAGUAACGAUAAAGCGGGUGAAAAGCCCGCUCGCCGGAAGACCAAGGGUUCCUGUCCAACGUUAAUCGGGGCAGGGUGAGUCGACCCCUAAGGCGAGGCCGAAAGGCGUAGUCGAUGGGAAACAGGUUAAUAUUCCUGUACUUGGUGUUACUGCGAAGGGGGACGGAGAAGGCUAUGUUGGCCGGGCGACGGUUGUCCCGGUUUAAGCGUGUAGGCUGGUUUUCCAGGCAAAUCCGGAAAACCAAGGCUGAGGCGUGAUGACGAGGCACUACGGUGCUGAAGCGACAAAUGCCCUGCUUCCAGGAAAAGCCUCUAAGCAUCAGGUAACAUCAAAUCGUACCCAAAACCGACACAGGUGGUCAGGUAGAGAAUACCAAGGCGCUUGAGAGAACUCGGGUGAAGGAACUAGGCAAAAUGGUGCCGUAACUUCGGGAGAAGGCACGCUGAUAUGUAGGUGAAGCGACUUGCUCGUGGAGCUGAAAUCAGUCGAAGAUACCAGCUGGCUGCAACUGUUUAUUAAAAACACAGCACUGUGCAAACACGAAAGUGGACGUAUACGGUGUGACGCCUGCCCGGUGCCGGAAGGUUAAUUGAUGGGGUUAGCGGUAACGCGAAGCUCUUGAUCGAAGCCCCGGUAAACGGCGGCCGUAACUAUAACGGUCCUAAGGUAGCGAAAUUCCUUGUCGGGUAAGUUCCGACCUGCACGAAUGGCGUAAUGAUGGCCAGGCUGUCUCCACCCGAGACUCAGUGAAAUUGAACUCGCUGUGAAGAUGCAGUGUACCCGCGGCAAGACGGAAAGACCCCGUGAACCUUUACUAUAGCUUGACACUGAACAUUGAGCCUUGAUGUGUAGGAUAGGUGGGAGGCUUUGAAGUGUGGACGCCAGUCUGCAUGGAGCCGACCUUGAAAUACCACCCUUUAAUGUUUGAUGUUCUAACGUUGGCCCGUAAUCCGGGUUGCGGACAGUGUCUGGUGGGUAGUUUGACUGGGGCGGUCUCCUCCUCCUAAAGUAACGGAGGAGCACGAAGGUUGGCUAAUCCUGGUCGGACAUCAGGAGGUUAGUGCAAUGGCAUAAGCCAGCUUGACUGCGAGCGUGACGGCGCGAGCAGGUGCGAAAGCAGGUCAUAGUGAUCCGGUGGUUCUGAAUGGAAGGGCCAUCGCUCAACGGAUAAAAGGUACUCCGGGGAUAACAGGCUGAUACCGCCCAAGAGUUCAUAUCGACGGCGGUGUUUGGCACCUCGAUGUCGGCUCAUCACAUCCUGGGGCUGAAGUAGGUCCCAAGGGUAUGGCUGUUCGCCAUUUAAAGUGGUACGCGAGCUGGGUUUAGAACGUCGUGAGACAGUUCGGUCCCUAUCUGCCGUGGGCGCUGGAGAACUGAGGGGGCUGCUCCUAGUACGAGAGGACCGGAGUGGACGCAUCACUGGUGUUCGGGUUGUCAUGCCAAUGGCACUGCCCGGUAGCUAAAUGCGGAAGAGAUAAGUGCUGAAAGCAUCUAAGCACGAAACUUGCCCCGAGAUGAGUUCUCCCUGACUCCUUGAGGGUCCUGAAGGAACGUUGAAGACGACGACGUUGAUAGGCCGGGUGUGUAAGCGCAGCGAUGCGUUGAGCUAACCGGUACUAAUGAACCGUGAGGCUUAACCUU